UGGAGCAGUGCCAGUGAAGGCGAGUGGGUCUGCAGCCGGGGGGCACAAGUCAUGCGAUUAUUGGAGCUUGCAGUGCAGUGACUGGAACAACAUCUGGGCUGCAGCAAGCUGGCCAGGACAUUUAAAAAGAGCUCCUGCGGUGCCUCAAACUUUGAUUUUACAGAGCUGUGGGGAAAGAAACAGGCUGCAUUCAAAAGCUCAUGUGUUUUGGCUCACACAUUUUGUCCUCGGUCACUGUGGAGGGCCCCACUCAGCUGGGGGAUCUCAGGGACAUUGUUGGACAGUCAUUCUCUAUCUACUCCACUAGCUCUAAGGGUUUGUGCUGGGGUUGGGCAGGUGAUCCCCAAAAAGAGGAUAAAAUAAGAAAUACCUCUUGCCAAUCCAUGAAUAUGACACUUAUUCUUUCACAGCAAGAAACUCUCAAGGGACACAUUUGUGCAAGAACUUGACACUUAUCAGUUGGUUUUGGAUAGUAUGUCAGUUGGAAACUAAAUAGCGUAGUGUGUGUGUGUGUGUGUGUGUGUGUACACACGUGCAUGUGUAGUGAGGGAGUGAGAUUAUAUCCUAUAGCUAAAUAUUAAGAAUAUCCAUGUCCAGUAUCACAAGGUUCAAAAAAACUUUUUCCCUAUUCCCCUUGUAGAAUAUUCAUUUAUUCAACAAAUAUUAUUGUGAAACUAUCAUGUGUGACAUAGAAUAGACAGAGCACUGGACAGAGAAAAGGUCUGAGAAUGAACUGUAGUAAGUGAGCCUUGCUUACUGCUCACAUGUUUGGAAAGCAUUUAUGAGGUGCUCUGGAAACUGAAGUUCUCUAGCACAGUGCAGGAGGCGGGGUAGCAGGGUGACGAGGAGCAUGGUUUCUGGAGCCAGAACCCUUGGGUACAAAUCCUGACUUUGUCACUCACAAGUUGUGCUACCUUGGGUACAUUAUUUAAUCCCUCUUGGAUACUCAGUGUCCACAUCUAUAAGAUGGGGGUGAUAAUAAUAGUAAUAAUAGGUUUGUUGUUAGGAGCAAAUGUGUUAAAAUAAACAUGAUGCAUUUAGAAUUUUACUUGGCACAUACAAACGAUAAGUAAUUGCUCCUUUAAGACACGCAUGUGCUCACACACACACAAACAUGAAAGGUGUUAUUUCAGAACUGAAGCCAUCAAAUGUGAAAACCAAAACUUCCCACUCUCAUUUCUGCAUCCUUCUCUUUUCAGCCCUCACUUGGCCAAACUCUGUCCUGGACUUCCUGAUUCCCUUGUUUUUCCAACUUUCUGUGUAUGUCUUUUAAUCAACAUAAGCUUCCUUUGCCAACCUUUUAUGUAUUAUAAAGUUUGGAAGCUUUCUAUUCCCAAAACACAAGCAGCAGCAGAGCCCAAAGGGCGUGUUGUACAUAUAAAAUAGAAAAGGAAAAGUUAGCAGGGGAGCCUGGAGAGAAGUCACUAGGUAGAGGAAGGCCUAGGGCUAAGGAUUCUGAAGUUAAGACUCUGACUUACUAGUGCCAAUGAACAUUCAAGAACCCUUGAUAAAGUGGGCUUUGGAGCAAAUCAGACCCGGUAUGAGUCCUGCCAUGAGUACUCACUAGCUGUGUAACUUUGGUAAAUCACUUAAUCUGGUUGAAACAUAGUUUCAUGUAAAAUGGGGGUCAUAAUAUUAUUUCCUUCCUAGCACAUUCACAUAGACAAUACGAUAUAAAGUAGGUAAAGGACUUAGUAGAGUAUCUGCAACAUCGUAAGUGCACAACAAAGAGCAGUUGUGAUUAUUACCACUGGCCACCCACUAGUUUGGGAGGAGUGUGGGGAAGGAAUGGCCUGCACCGGAAGAAGAGAAGAAACCUCCCAGCUCUCUGCCUUUCUUCCUUCCAAGUCACAGAUGCUUAACAGUGCCUGACAAAGCCUACUCCUCACUGCUUGAUAGAAAAGGGGAUGCCAACAAGAAACCCGAGGCUGUUUACUCAGGAAAAGAGACAUACCUAUAAUAGAAUCAACACGAAGACCAAAUAUCAAAGAACUUAGGAAGAAGAUGCCGUUUUUUAAAGGUCAAUGAGCACAGUUCUCUGUACCUGAAAAAAACAAGGCAAAUACACCAACAGAGCUGGAGGAAUUAAAGAAUAACUUUAAUAGGACCAUAAUCUUCAUGGGCUAGUGCAUUUGUUCCGAUCUCUAAAAGUGACAUUCAUCCUGGUGGAACAUUUCCAUUCACAUAUUUCAGGAACUUUCAGAAUCAUCUCAAUGUAGAAGCCCAUAAAUGAGUCACUUUCAAAACAGCACAUUUUCUUUUCUUCUUAUAAAUUCAGUAACAGCAGAAAGAGAUCCUGUUCUCUGGAAGCCACAGUGAUAAUCCUCCUUAUCCAACCUAUUUUCACUUUGGUAGGAAAGAUGGUGUCAGGGCCCAGCAGAUUUUUCUUGAAGUUAUGGUGGGUCAGCUAAACAGACACUAAGUCCAGCUUCCUCUUUGAUAGCUCCCUCUUCCCCUUAUCUAAUGCCAACUCAACUUUGCUUUUUAUUGGAUUUCCAUUGCUUCAAUGUUCUUCAUGGAGACUCAGUUUCUGUAACCAUUACAGCUGAUGGUAGUUUAGUACUUUAAACGUCGUUAAUUAACUCGCUGCAUCACACAGGCCAGGCACAUUUCCAUCAAAAGUUGCUAUCUUGUCCUUCCAGCCUAGAAACCUUGGCAAGGUGCCCUCUUGGAAAGCCUAGAUUGCAUCUAAAACCAUGUGGCAGAGAGAGAAGCCAAAGAUGUCCGUCCUGGGAAGACUCAGGCUGGGAAGCAAGCUAUACUGUCCAAGCAAUAGGGGACCAGCCACACUCAGAACUGCUCCACUGGCCAGCCCACAGGUCUCCCCACUUCUCUGAUCAAUUUUACUUGCCUCCACACCGCUUGCCCCAUCCUGACCC
rnacentral:lncRNA from 1 species